rnacentral:rRNA from 1 species
GAUGAACGCUGGCGGCGUGCUUAACACAUGCAAGUCGAACGGAGUUUACCACCAUGAUUUCUUCGGAAUGAUAAUGGUAAACUUAGUGGCGGACGGGUGAGUAACGCGUGGGUAACCUGCCUCACACUGGGGGACAACAGUUGGAAACGACUGCUAAUACCGCAUAAGCGCACAGCUUCGCAUGAAGCAGUGUGAAAAACUCCGGUGUGUGAGAUGGACCCGCGUCUGAUUAGAUAGUUGGUGAGGUAACGGCCCACCAAGUCAACGAUCAGUAGGGGUUCUGAGAGGAAGGUCCCCCACAUUGGAACUGAGACACGGGUCCAAACUCCUACGGGAGGCAGCAGUG